rnacentral:rRNA from 1 species
CCUACGGGGUGCUGCAGUGGGGAAUAUUGGACAAUGGGCGAAAGCCUGAUCCAGCCAUGCCGCGUGUGUGAAGAAGGCCUUCGGGUUGUAAAGCACUUUCAGUGGGGAAGAAAGCCUUGGGGCUAAUACCCUCGAGGAAGGACAUCACCCACAGAAGAAGCACCGGCUAACUCCGUGCCAGCAGCCGCGGUAAUACGGAGGGUGCGAGCGUUAAUCGGAAUUACUGGGCGUAAAGCGCGCGUAGGCGGUCUGAUAAGCCGGUUGCGAAAGCCCCGGGCUCAACCUGGGAACGGCAUCCGGAACUGUCAGGCUAGAGUGCAGGAGAGGAAGGUAGAAUUCCCGGUGUAGCGGUGAAAUGCGUAGAGAUCGGGAGGAAUACCAGUGGCGAAGGCGGCCUUCUGGACUGACACUGACGCUGAGGUGCGAAAGCGUGGGUAGCAAACAGGAUUAGAUACCCCAGUAGUC